CGGCUGCUUCCUGCUCGCGGCUUUCACAAGGGGCUGGCGGCUCCUGAGCGCGCUCUGCCACGAGCCCGGCGCUUCUGCAAGCCCCUCUCGGCCCGUGUGCGGCCCGCCCCGCUAAAGGGGCCCUGUGAAGCAGCAGGACAGUGAUUCUCCUUUGCCUGUCUCAUCACGUGUCUGUUUUGUAAAGUUCCAUGAUCCUGACUCGGCAGUUGUGGCCCAGCAUCUGACAAACACUGUAUUCGUUGACAGAGCGUUGAUAGUCGUACCAUAUGCAGAAGUAUUUCAUGGUUCUAACAAAGCAGCAGUAAAAAAAAACUCUUGACGCAUGAAAAUUAACUGUUCUUUUCCCUGGUUCAGCCUGAACUAUAUACCAGGCCCUGCUGAAAAUACCACCCAACAGUUUUCUUCUGCAGCUUAUCCAGUUUCUCUUAAGUGCCCUGUACAUAUUGUAUGUUUUAUGAUGAGAUGCAGUUUCUUAAUAUGUAUUACAGAAACACUACUGGUAUUUGCAAAUAUAUAGUAAAAUUGUAUUAUUGAACUCUCAUUUGGGGGCUUGGGCACAUUAACAGAUUAAUCCAUCUGUAUAGGGCUUUUGCUGUUGGAUAGAAUACAAAUUAUCCACAUAAAUACUUGUUUCAUAGUAGGACCCUUAAGAUUUGUUCUAUGUGCAGAAUAGGUAGUAAACUCAGACACUUGUCUUAGUUGGCUACAAGAGUUUGGGCUGGAAGUUUCUUCUGAAAUGACAGUAUGUAGUAGCAACCUUGGUACAGUAAACAUGGCACAUAUUGGAACAUAUGCAUUUUACUGCACAGGUAAGGAAUGUGCCACAAUGUACUGUAUAUACACAUCCACCCACACAUACACAGCGUGUAUUUGGAGAUCUGCAGAGACUUUCAUGUUCAUUUGAUGAGUCAGCAAAAGCCCUACGCUUGAUUCAGCAAAAUAUUUCCUUACCUUCUCUUAAUUUUUACAAAAUUUGUGUGGUAGGUGUAAAAGAAAUCAUAGUGAACUGUACCAUAUUAUUAACCCCUAAAUCAAACUUUUUUUGUCUUGUGUAUCUUGAUUUUUCUGUGUGCU